GGUUGUGGCUCAGUGGUAGAAUGCUUGCCUAGUAUGCACGGGGCACUGGGUUCGAUCCUCAGCACCA
rnacentral:tRNA from 1 species